CUUACUGCUAUCGGGGUGGGACUAAGACAUGCGAGUCGAGCGUCUCUAGCUAUGUUGAGACGCGGCAGACGGCUCAGUAACACGUGGCUAACCUACCCUCAGGACAAGGACAAACCCGGGAAACUGGGGCUAAUACUUGAUAGGCGAAGAUGCCUGGAAUGGUUUUUCACCUAAAGGGCUUUAGAAACAUGCUUCUAAAGUCGCCUGAGGAUGGGGCCGCGUCCGAUCAGGUUGUUGGUGAGGUAACGGCUCACCAAGCCUAUAACCGGUACGGGCCGUGAGAGCGGUAGCCCGGAGAUGGGUACUGAGACAAGGACCCAGGCCCUACGGGGCGCAGCAGUCGCGAAAACUCCGCAAUGCACGAAAGUGUGACGGGGCUACCCCGAGUGCCAUCCGCUGAGGAUGGCUUUUCUUUGGUAUAACUAGCCAUUGGAAUAAGGAGAGGGCAAGACUGGUGUCAGCCGCCGCGGUAAUACCAGCUCUCCGAGUGGUAGGGAUGAUUAUUGGGCUUAAAGCGUCCGUAGCCGGCUUAGCAAGUCUCCUGUUAAACUCAGCGACCUAAUCGUUGAAUCGCGGGAGAUACUACUAGGCUAGGAGGCGGGAGAGGUCGACGGUACUUCUGGGGUAGGGGUGAAAUCCUAUAAUCCCGGGAGGACCACCAGUGGCGAAGGCUGUCGACUAGAACGCGCUCGACGGUGAGGGACGAAAGCUGGGGGA
rnacentral:rRNA from 1 species